rnacentral:tRNA from 1 species
GCCAGCUUAGCUCAAUUGGUAGAGCAAUGGUUUUGUAAACCAUAGGUUGUCGGUUCGAGCCCGACAGCUGGCU